rnacentral:rRNA from 1 species
GAUGAACGCCGGCGGCGUGCCUAAUACAUGCAAGUCGAGCGAACGGACGAGAAGCUUGCUUCUCUGAUGUUAGCGGCGGACGGGUGAGUAACACGUGGAUAACCUACCUAUAAGACUGGGAUAACUUCGGGAAACCGGAGCUAAUACCGGAUAAUAUUUUGAACCGCAUGGUUCAAAAGUGAAAGACGGUCUUGCUGUCACUUAUAGAUGGGUCCGCGCUGCAUUAGCUAGUUGGUAAGGUAACGGCUUACCAAGGCAACGAUGCAUAGCCGACCUAAGAGGGUGAUCGGCCACACUGGAACUGAGACACGGUCCAGACUCCUACGGGAGGCAGCAGUAGGGAAUCUUCCGCAAUGGGCGAAAGCCUGACGGAGCAACGCCGCGUGAGUGAUGAAGGUCUUCGGAUCGUAAAACUCUGUUAUUAGGGAAGAACAUAUGUGUAAGUAACUGUGCACAUCUUGACGGUACCUAAUCAGAAAGCCACGGCUAACUACGUG